rnacentral:rRNA from 1 species
UUAUAUAAGUAUCCUGCUCAUGAAUUAAUUUAAAUAGCCGCGGAAAUUUAACCGUGCUAAGGUAGCAUAAUCAUUAGCCUCUUAAUUAGAGGCUCGCAUGAAUGGUAAAACAUUUCAAUAUCUAUAUUAAUUAUAAAUCUUUAAUUUAAAUUAAGAAUUAAAAUGUUCUUAUGAUAUAAAUAGACGACAAGACCCUUUUGAACUUAACUUCAGUUUAGCUGGGGCAGCUAAUAAAAAAUUAUCUUUUUCCAUCUAUUUUAUUAAAUGACCCAAUAAAAUUGAUUUAUUGAACAAGUUACCAUAGGGAUAACAGCGUAAUAUUUUUCUAAAGUUCUUAUUUAAAAAAAUGAUUGCGACCUCGAUGUUGAAUUAAUGUUACUUUACAGAUGCAAUAAUUUUAUAAGUAGGUCUGUUCGACCUUUAAAUCAUUACAUGAUCUGAGUUCAAACCGGA